GAUGUGAGGAUAAUUUAGCUGUAUGACCUGUUACCAUUUGAUUACUGGAGUAGAUUUAGUUCAUCUGACAGGCUGGCCAGGUGUUCCUCUUAUUUCUGAAUGCUC
ensembl:misc_RNA 7SK 7SK RNA